rnacentral:snRNA from 1 species
GUGCUUGCUUUGGCAGCACAUCUACUAAAAUUGGAAAGAUACAGAGAAAUUUAGCCCCUGCGCAAGGAUGAGAUGCGAAUUCGUGAAGUAUUCCACCUUGUU